AAUCCAACAACAUAUGGGCUCAUGAAGAAACAAGUUGAAGAAAACAAGUUUCAAGUGAAUAUGUUUUCUGCAGAUUUUUUGCCACUGAUCUUUGGUUGUGCCCCACCCAUAUGGAACAUAGACGGGGCCUUUGGACUAUACCAACAGAAGCUCCUUGAAGUUUACUUUCAACCCAAAAACCUCACAUCAUUUGAAGUUGUGUAGCUCAAGAUAUUCAAGUUUUGGUGGAAGGUGUUCAGGCUGAUAAAUGCUUCGCGAAUUUUCGAGGAACUCCCCAAUAACUCACCAAGUUGACUACUCUUCACCCAAGGGAGGCAUACGAAUUCUGCACCAUUUUAAACCCUUUUCACAUCUAGCUAAGGGGGGU
rnacentral:lncRNA from 1 species